rnacentral:rRNA from 1 species
UACGUAGGCAGCAAGCGUUGUUCGGAGUACUGGGCGUAAAGGGUGCGUAGGCGGCUCUAUAAGUAUGGUGUGAAAUCUCCCGGCUUAACUGGGAGGGUGCGCUAUAAACUGUGGGGCUAGAGUGCGGGAGAGGAAAGUGGAAUUCCUGGUGUAGCGGUGAAAUGCGUAGAUAUCAGGAGGAACACCGGUGGUGUAAACGGCUUUCUGGACCGUAACUGGCGCUGAUGCACGAAAGCGUGGGUAGCAAACAGG